rnacentral:misc_RNA from 1 species
AAGUCGUAACAAGGUUUCCGUAGGUGAACCUGCGGAAGGAUCACUAGUGAUUAAAUCGAGAGCGUCUUCAUUGACCUCUCACCCUUCACAUCCACAUACACCUGUGCACCGUUUGGCUCUUUUAAAAGACGUAAGUCUGCAAAGAGAGUCAUCAAUUUUAUACAUACCCCAGUCUUAUGAAUGUAACAGUUUUAAUAAACAAAAUAAAACUUUCAACAACGGAUCUCUUGGUUCUG